AGUGAACGCUGGCGGCGUGCCUAAUACAUGCAAGUCGAACGGACGAGUAAGAGCUUGCUCUUAUGAGUUAGUGGCGCACGGGUGAGUAAUGUAUAGCUAAUCUGCCCUACACUAGAGGACAACAGUUGGAAACGACUGCUAAUACUCUAUACUCCUCUCUAGCAUAAGUUAGAUAGGGAAAGUUUUUCGGUGUAGGAUGAGGCUAUAUUGUAUCAGCUAGUUGGUGAGGUAAUGGCUCACCAAGGCUAUGACGCAUAACUGGUCUGAGAGGAUGAUCAGUCACACUGGAACUGAGACACGGUCCAGACUCCUACGGGAGGCAGCAGUAGGGAAUAUUGCUCAAUGGGGGAAACCCUGAAGCAGCAACGCCGCGUGGAGGAUGACACUUUUCGGAGCGUAAACUCCUUUUGUUAGGGAAGAACAAUGACGGUACCUAACGAAUAAGCACCGGCUAACUCCGUGCCAGCAGCCGCGGUAAUACGGAGGGUGCAAGCGUUACUCGGAAUCACUGGGCGUAAAGGACGCGUAGGCGGAUUAUCAAGUCUCUUGUGAAAUCCUAUGGCUUAACCAUAGAACUGCUUGGGAAACUGAUAAUCUAGAGUGAGGGAGAGGCAGAUGGAAUUGGUGGUGUAGGGGUAAAAUCCGUAGAGAUCACCAGGAAUACCCAUUGCGAAGGCGAUCUGCUGGAACUCAACUGACGCUAAUGCGUGAAAGCGUGGGGAGCAAACAGGAUUGAGAUACCCUGGUAGUCCAAGGGCGAAUUCCACAGUGGAGAUCAGGCUUCAUCGAUACGGUCGACCUCAAAAGGUUU
rnacentral:rRNA from 1 species